rnacentral:tRNA from 3 species
GGGGGGUUACCAAAGCGGCCAACUGGGGCAGACUGUAAAUCUGCUGGCUUAUGCCUUCGGUGGUUCGAAUCCGCCACCCCCCACCA